GAUAUACUUUUAUUGUGGCAUUUACGCUUUUCUGGGCACAGCAUGCUUGUUAGAUACAAGGUACACAGUACACCAUUCUCCUGUAAGUCAAGUAAUGGGCUACUCUCUCUCCAAACAGUAAGCAUCCCUGUGUGUCGGUUUCCUGCCCUUUAGUGCACUGAAGUGCAUUACAGACUAAAUUAAACAAAAUGAAACCCCAAACCACACUUAUUUCGUGUUUGUGUGUGAGCAUUCACACAUGGAGAAGCCAGAGAGACAACUGAAGGGAGUUGGUUCUUUCCUUCCGCCACAUGGGUCCUGGGGAUUGAGUUCAGGUUGUUGGGGUGAGGGUGGGGAGCUGGGCAGGGGACAGGUUCACAGCAGGUGCCUUUAACUCCUCAUAGCCAUCUCAGCUGCUCUUUUGUAGGGCACAGUUUGACCAGCCCUGAUUUUACUUCUCUUGGUCUUCCUUUGGUUUGUGGUGGCAGUGGCCACUUCUGCUUCUCCAUCCCUUUGGUUUGCGGUGGCCUGGUGGCCACUUCUUCUCUUCCAGAGGCUUCCUUUUCAGUAGGAGGUGGUAUUUCUCUGUGCCUGCUUUAUUUCACUUUAUUUCACUUAGAGUGUACUCCAGUUCUGUCAUGGGCCACAGCACUUACGUUUCUUGGUGAUGACGGCCCCUGAACAGGAGGACGCUGUGUGCCACCAUGAUCUCUGGCUUGGGGUUGCGUGUCUUCAUCAGUGAGGUUGAGCAGCUUUUUUUUUUUUUUUUUAAAGAUUUAUUUAUUUUAUUUAUAUAGUGAACUGUAGCUGUUUUCAGACACCAAAAGAGGGCAUCGGAUCCCAUUACAGAUAAUUGUGAGCCACCAUGUGGUUGCUGGGAAUUGAACUCAGGACCUCUGGAAGUGGAGUCAGUGCUCUUACCCUCUGAGUCAUCUCGCCAGCCUGAGCAGUUCUUAUUGUUGACUACACAGACAGGUUAUAUUUUUCAUCUUACUUUGAACUUUUCUUUACAAUCUGGACAUCAAUAUCAUAC
rnacentral:lncRNA from 1 species